rnacentral:lncRNA from 1 species
ACUGGCUUUGUGGUGCCACCAUAUAUAGUGCUCUUCUCAUUGACCACCAAUGAAAGAGGUGCCCCUUCAGGAAGUGUGGUUGGGGCUGGAUACAUGGGCUCAGGGGGCCACAUUGACUCACGGGACAUAGUUUGGGGACCCCUGCCCUAGACUAAGAUCAGAAUCAGACUGUGAUUUCUGGAAGCUGAUGAUUCUGUCUCCUCUGCUACUGGCUUUCAGGACUUGGCAAAGUGAACUAUUUUUGGCCUGGCUAGGACUUCACUUCAGCACAGACUUGAAAGGGCCAAACCUAUGGACUUCUGAGCCUUGCUUCAGGCUGGUGCCAGGGCAUAUGACUUCAAGGAGGUGUCAACUUUUAUCAAAGACCUCUGAGGGUAUCAACUCUGAUCAUAGUAUUCACGAGUUUCUGACUGAGUAAAAAGGGUGGAGCUCUCCAAGAGCAUUCAGUUUGUGAUCAGUAAGGAAGGGUUUUCAGAGGUCUGAACUUUUGCUGCUUCUAUGCUGCCAUCUUGAUCAUAAGUCCCCAAGUAAGUGACUAUUAACAUCUUUACUUAGUGUUAAAUAAGGGUGUCUUUAAGUUUUUGCUUGAUUAACUCAAC